rnacentral:lncRNA from 1 species
UGCCUCUAUUCCCCUCAGGUCUGCCCCUCUCCAAUUCCUCUCAAAAACAGCUCUUGUGGGCGACCUCUCCCUGGCACGAGAGAGGGUUGCCUGUGAGGGACGCCUCGGACCCAGAGGGCUUGUUCCGCCUUCCCCGGAGGGAGAGAGAAGAGCUUCCCGAGUCGUGCGUCCGACGUGGGGCUGCCAGGACUCGUGUGUGGAAAGUGCUGCUGGACCCUUUGCCGUGAGGGCGGCGGCGGCGGCGGCUUCAUUGCGGCUCCUCCCCUUCAGGUGGAGGCGCAGAACUAGGCAACGAGCAACGGCGGCCGCAGCAGCAGCAGCAGCAGCUGAAGAAACGGGAGCUGCUCCCGUUCCUCCCUCUUUGCUGGACCGCGCUUCGCUUUGGGCUCUUCUGGAAGGGCGCCGGGCGAGGAAGGCGGCUGAGAGUCCAAUAAUGCAAUGGCUGAAGAACAAGGGUGUUUCAGAGUAGCUGGAUGGAUGUCUUGGAUUUUAAUUGUAACUCUGACGAUUUGGAGUGAUCGUGGUAACGGACAAGGUCAAGGUAAAUGGAAGGAUUUUAUUAUUGAGAGGAAAUAUGAAUGUCGUUUGGCUUAUUCCGCAGGUGUUC